GUGGUGUAAAGAGAGAAGAAGAGAGGUGGUGUAAAGAGAGAAGAAGAGAGAGGUGGUGUAAAGAGAGAAGAAGAGAGAGGUGGGGUAAAGAGAGGAGAGGAAGAGAGAAAAAAGACAUGCCACAGCAUCAGAGAAACGUGAAGGAAAAGGAGCAAAAUGAGGAGAGGAGGGGGGGGAGUUGUAGGACUUGAGGUUUAUGCAACACACGGCCUGGCCUCGGCCUCGCAGCGAGCCUCCCCUCACCUCAGCACCCCAGAUACACACACGCAUGCACACCACAGGAGGUUGGUGGCACCUUAAUUGGGGAGGACAGGCUCGUGGUAAUGGCUGGAGUGGAACAGGUGGAAUGGUAUCAAAUACAUAACAUCAAACGCAUGGUUUCCAUUCGCUCUGUUCUGGGGCAUUAGUAUGAGCCCCUCAGCCCCUAUAUCUAUGAUCUGCUGGGGAGAAUCAAUUUGAGUAACUAUUUGAUUUUAGUUGCAAAUUACUUCAUAACACCUGCAGGUAUACAGACCAAGAUCUCGUGGUUUUACCAACCUGACUUCAGUAUCUGACAUUUAUCCACAGUUCUCCAAACGUUUACAUUUUGAUGUUAAUGGUUACAUUUUGGAUAAGGUAAAAAAAUAUAUAUUUACAAAAAUGUGUUUCUACCACUGGGAGUGAGCACAUGACCUUCAGAUCAGGAGUGAUGUGAUUAAAACAAAGAACGAGUUUCUACCACUAGGAUUGAACACGUGACCUUUGGUUCUGGAGAUUUUGCAACGCCACACACACACACACACACACAACCACACAGAACGAAUGGCCAUGCAAUGUAAUCGUAGCGAUACCAACAAUGCUACUGUAAAUAAACACACACAUACAUACACACACACACACACACAACCACACAGAAUGAAUGGCCCUGCUAUGUAAUCGUAGCGAUACCCACAAUGCUACUGUAAAUAAACAGACACAUCCAUACAUACACACACACACAUUCCUGAAACAAGAUAGUUUAUAAUGCAUACAUAUACACUCAUGCUGUGCCAACUGAG
ensembl:lncRNA